rnacentral:misc_RNA from 1 species
CGAAUUCUUUGGAGUUAACAGCUCUUUUUUUAACCCUAAAAGGUAUCUAUCUGUCUUAGAUUAAUAGUACAGUAACUAGAUUACAAAAAGAGCUGUUAACUCCAAAGAAUUCGUAACCCAAAUGGAACAUUACUACAUUUCUAUCUAGAGAUAAUUACAGCCACAGGAUAAAAUCAGAUUUGCUAAGACCAAAAAUUCUAUAGGAAGCCAAUAAUGCUUCCCAUUUUCUGUUUAACUAUAGCUGGAAGAAAUGCCUGUGUGAAUUGGGUACGUGAUACAGGGAUAUAGAAAUGCAUCAGGAACCAAAAAUAACUAAGAAUCAAACAGCGGUAAAGAAUGAGAUGAGAACCGUUAUAAAUGCAAAAAUGAAAGGGUUCAAUUGAGGUGAUUGAUUCGCUGACGGUAGCGGCUCCCUAAAGACAUUAGAAUUGCUGCCAUUCCCUGUGGUGGCUUCUUGAUUAACAGAUGCAGCUGGUGACACUCCAGGACUUGUCGGGUUGACACGUAGAGUGUUGCUGUCUGAAAGAUCAUAACAGUUUGAUGGUUUCCAACCCAACACAUUCUUUUCACGAUCAAAAACUAUACGAUAACCCGUCAUGAAAUUUUGUCCAAU